AACGCUAGCGACAGGCCUAACACAUGCAAGUCAGGGGCGAGCACAAGGAGCAAUCUGAGGUGGCGACCGGCGCACGGGUGAGUAACACGUAUGCAACCUGCCUGUAAGCGGGGAAUAACCCGUUGAAAGACGGACUAAUACCGCAUAAUACUAAAUUACUGCAUGGUAAUUUAUUUAAACAUUUAUGGCUUACAGAUGGGCAUGCGCAUGAUUAGCUAGUUGGAGAGGUAACGGCUCCCCAAGGCAACGAUCAUUAGGGGUUCUGAGAGGAAGGUCCCCCACACUGGUACUGAGACACGGACCAGACUCCUACGGGAGGCAGCAGUGAGGAAUAUUGGUCAAUGGACGAGAGUCUGAACCAGCCAAGUCGCGUGCAGGAAGAAUGUCCCUAUGGAUUGUAAACUGCUUUUGCAGGGGAAUAAAGUGCAUCACGUGUGAUGUUUUGUAUGUACUCUGCGAAUAAGGAUCGGCUAACUCCGUGCCAGCCGCCGC
rnacentral:rRNA from 1 species